CACUUACACGCACACACACUUACACGCACUCACGCACGCACACAUGCACGCACACACACACACACACACACACACACACACACACACACGCACACACACAUCCAGGAGGAGAGGGGAGCGCCAACAGACUGCCAGUUCCCUCAGGUCCGCUGAUGGAAGCCUAAACAUCCGUCUGUCACAACACAUCUCCAUCGCUGUUUUCCCUCAUUGUUUGUCUUAAGGAAAGACAACAACAACAACAUCGCGUCAAAGGGGGAAAAAAGCUUCAAAAGUCGCUCUUUGCCCAAAUGACUGACCGCUGUUGGCGCUGUUAAACUUGUAAAAAAAAUGGAUUUAAAGGCGCGCUGGUAGUACAAUUAACGUCAUAAUUGACACCUUACAAGACGAGAAGACGUCCACUGUUCAUUCCUUCGCCCCGAGCAGCACCACAGACUCUCAAUGAAGGAGCCUGACGCAAUCAAGCUCUUCAUUGGGCAAAUACCCCGAAACCUUGAGGAAAAAGACCUCAAGCCCAUUUUCGAGCAAUUCGGCAAGAUUUACGAGUUGACGGUGAUAAAGGACAAAUACACGGGGAUGCACAAAGGAUGUGCCUUCCUGACAUACUGUGCUCGUGAGUCAGCCCUCAAAGCCCAGAAUGCAUUGCACGAGCAGAAGACACUGCCCGGGAUGAACCGUCCCAUCCAGGUGAAGCCAGCAGACAGCGAGAGCAGAGGGGAAGACAGGAAGCUCUUUGUGGGCAUGCUGGGAAAGCAGCAGACCGACCCCGACGUGAGAAAGAUGUUCGAACCCUUUGGCAGCAUCGAGGAGUGCACAGUGCUCCGCGGACCGGAUGGCACCAGCAAAGGGUGUGCAUUUGUUAAGUUCCAGUGCAACGCCGAGGCCCAGGCUGCUAUCAACGCUCUCCAUGGAAGCCGCACUCUACCGGGAGCCUCAUCCAGUCUGGUUGUGAAGUUUGCCGAUUCGGAGAAGGAGCGGGGGCUUCGGCGGAUGCAGCAGGUGGCCUCUCAGCUGGGAGUCAUCAGUCCCAUGACCCUGCACCUCGGAGCCUACAACGCCUACACGCAAGCUUUGAUGCAACAGCAGGCGCUGGUGGCCCAAUCAGCCUACCUCUCUCCUGUUGCCACGGUGGCGGCCGUUCAGAUGCAACAGCUGGCUGCCCUCAACCCCAGCAGCCUAAUUGCCAUGCCGAUCGCAUCCAUCACCCCCUCUUCAGGUACAAGCACUCCGCCCUCCAUCACAGCCACGCCGGUUCCUGCCCUGCCUCCACCAAUUGCAUUGAGCAGCUACCCCUCAGUGCCAGCGCCACCUAACGGCCAAUCAGCAAGCGAGACCCUGUACACCAACGGGGUCCAUGCCUAUCAAGCUCAGAGUCCUGUCCUGGACCCCCUGCAGCAAGCUUACACGGGCAUGCAGCACUACACAGCCACCUAUCCUGCCGCCUACAGCCUGGUGGGGCAGCCGUUCCCUCAUCAGCCCACUCUGGUAGCUCAGCAGCCCCAGCAGCCACAGCAGCUACAACAGCGUGAAGGUCCUGAAGGAUGCAACAUUUUCAUCUACCACCUUCCUCAGGAGUUCACUGACUCUGAAAUCCUGCAGAUGUUCUUGCCCUUCGGAAACGUCAUCUCAGCCAAGGUCUUUGUUGACCGCGCCACCAACCAAAGCAAAUGCUUCGGUUUUGUGAGUUUUGACAACCCGUCUAGCGCUCAAACUGCCAUCCAGGCCAUGAACGGCUUCCAGAUCGGCAUGAAGAGACUGAAGGUGCAGCUGAAGCGGCCGAAGGACGCCAACAGACCUUACUGAAGGAGACCGUCCCGUCGACAUACAUAUAUCGUGGAGAUGUGCGUCGCUAUGGCUACAGUUGCUUAGCAGCCACAUAAACCUCCCCCCCCUCCUUCUCACCGCGUCAAGAAUUUAGGAGUUCAAUCAAGAGAAAAAAAAACCACCUGGGGGGAUGUCCCGGCCUUGUUUGGUUGUUUGACCAACCAUGUUAGCACAGGAGCGUCGCCUCACAAAAGCGGCGUCACGUGCUAAACGCUUUCCUCGAGCAGCAGCCAAACGCAGUAACGUUAUCAUCAAAAAGCAUACCGAGCGGCUGAAUGAGUUCCUAAUCAUUCCACAGCGGGAUACAUUCAUACGAUGUACAUAUUCUAGUGUCAGUGUUCUACAUGUUAAAAGAAAAACCACAUCACUGGUGAGAUGUGAUACUGAACAGGGUUCUACUGUAUAGUGAUUUGUGUCCGAAGGGGAAUGGAAAUAUAUUCUGUGUGACCACGACUGGUCAUUUUGUUAUGUAGUUAGUUUGAUUUUUAUGAUGGGCUUUUAAAACGGAAAGACGCUUGAGUAGAUUCUGCUGUACAAAAAAAAAAAAAAAAAAUACUACUUUUCAAAUUCACAAAGUGGAAGGAAGGGCUGGGAUAUUUUAUAUCUUUUAUGUUGUAUGCUUAAUUUGUUUAGUAAUCAACUUGAUGAAAAGUACCGGUAUGUGCAUUUUUUUUUUUUUUAACUAAUUUAAGAAAAGAAGAUAAUGGAUUCCUUCAAGACAAUGAAUAUACUUAUUAUAGAGUUUUUAAUGACAUAAAUUUAAGGACAUGUUUCUUUAUUUAUUCUCUACAAUCGCUGUUUUAAAACAAUAAAGUACAA